AACGAGGGUUCUGGAAGGAGAGACGAGGUUAAAAUGCCAGUAUUCGAGGGAUAACGAGGUGUGUGGGAACAAGGAGGGCUCUGAAAGUAGAGGAAUGAUGAUAAUGAGAUGUUGGUGCAUUCAUUUUAUUGUAGCCCUUCAAAAAGAAUGCUUUUUUCAUUUAUGGGCAAGUCGAACUCCUAGCCAGGGAGAAAAGCUUAUGCAUCAAGAAGACUUUCAUUCUGCACAUUCAGAGGUGUUCUGAAGCCAAUUAUGGUUGAUCUUUUACUUCCUCCAUCACCUUCUUCAUCCAGGAACAACUGUAUAUUCACCCAUGGACAUGAUGUUACCACUCAUUCAAUCUCAAAUCUAACUAAAGCUUUUUCCAAAUGAUGUUGCGUUCUUCAAUUGGUAAAUUAUGGACCUUUGGUACUAAAUUUUCACAUCAGGAAUCUUCUCCUCUGGACCUUUGGCUUUGACAUCGACCAUAUUGAAAUAUAUAUGUAUUUGAAACUGAAGCUGGAUGAUUGCAAAGGCUGAGGACAAUUUUCUUUCACUUUGACCUAUCAGUCAGGGAUCACUGUGCAAGUAAAUUUAAACUCUGAUGAAUCCAUGCUUAAUAUGCGGCCGUAUGUCAUUGCAGGACAUAUGCAUCUUUGCUCAAUUUUCCCAAUUCAU